CCUGCAUCCCCUUCUCUCUAUCUCUCUCUCACCCACACAGACGCAGAAGCAACAGCAAAAAGCCCCUUGCACGCUCACCGAGCUUCUUUCGGGAGUAUGGAAAUGAGAUGACGGCUAAAUCCAUCAUGCGGAUAAAAAAGCAGAACACGAGAGAGAGAGAGAGAGAGAGAGAUGAUGUAGCUGCAGCGGUCUUCGCUCACCCAUGUGCACGGGGGCAGGCGGGCGGGCAGAAGCCAACAACGAGACCUCCGCCCGGGAGGACCACCGGAGCAAUGCCGGGAAAUGGCGAGAUUACCCCCUCGAGAUGGAGCACAGUGGCAAGCAACCGGAGCAGGGGCACCAUGGUCCGACCACCGCCCACGUACGACGUGCAUUACUACGACACUCUCGGUAGUCGAACGACUCGCAGGCAGCAUUGGGCUCAGAGAAAUCCACGAACAGCAAGAAAAAGAAAAAGAGAAGUGGCUGAUGGGGACUCGCGAAGGAAGGGGACUAGAGAUGGAGUGAGCUUGGAAUCGAGCUUCGAGGAGGAGGAGGAGGUGGUGGAGGAGGAGGAGAGAGAGCAGGACGCCAUCGUCUUCUACAAGGAGCGAGGAAAAGAGAUGGGAGGAGGAGGAGCAGCAGCAGCCCGGCUUCCCGAUUCUAUCUAAUAUCCUGAAGAGAGAGAGAGAGAGAGAGAGAGAGAGAGAGAGAGAGAGAGAGAGAGCCCGACGUCUCUGAUACCGAGCAGAUCUGACGGUGUCUGAGCUCCAUCGCUUUCCUUGAGAUCUCUCGAGAUCUACCUCUGCUGCUGCUGCUGCUGCUGCUCUUUCUCUCUCUCUCUCCUCCUCGUGUUUCUGUAUCUUCGUAAGGGGAAGCUAAUAGAGCAGUUAUCCUCCGGUCCUUUCCA